AGAGUUUGAUCCUGGCUCAGGACGAACGCUGGCGGCGUGCCUAACACAUGCAAGUCGAGCGAGAAGUCUUCGACGGAUUCCUUCGGGAUGAAGAUGAAGAUGGAAAGCGGCGGACGGGUGAGUAACGCGUGAGUAACCUGCCUUCAGGAGGGGGACAACAGUUGGAAACGGCUGCUAAUACCGCAUAAUAUUACAGAACCGCAUGAUUUUGUAAUCAAAUGUUUUUUCGCCUGAAGAUGGACUCGCGUCCGAUUAGAUAGUUGGUGGGGUAACGGCUCACCAAGUCGACGAUCGGUAGCCGAACUGAGAGGUUGAUCGGCCACAUUGGGACUGAGACACGGCCCAGACUCCUACGGGAGGCAGCAGUGGGGGAUAUUGCGCAAUGGGGGGAACCCUGACGCAGCAACGCCGCGUGAAGGAAGACGGUUUUCGGAUUGUAAACUUCUUUAAGUGUGGAAGAAAUUGACGGUACACACAGAAUAAGCCACGGCUAACUACGUGCCAGCAGCCGCGGUAAUACGUAGGUGGCGAGCGUUGUCCGGAUUUACUGGGUGUAAAGGGCGUGUAGGCGGGAUUACAAGUCAGAUGUGAAAUACCGAGGCUUAACUUCGGGGCUGCAUUUGAAACUGUAGUUCUUGAGUGCCGGAGAGGAAAGCGGAAUUCCUAGUGUAGCGGUGAAAUGCGUAGAUAUUAGGAGGAACACCGGUGGCGAAGGUGGCUUUCUGGACGGUAACUGACGCUGAGGCGCGAAAGUGUGGGGAGCAAACAGGAUUAGAUACCCUGGUAGUCCACACCGUAAACGAUGGAUACUAGGUGUAGGAGGUAUCGACCCCUUCUGUGCCGCAGUUUAACACAAUAAGUAUCCCACCUGGGGAGUACGAUCGCAAGAUUGAAACUCAAAGGAAUUGACGGGGGCCCGCACAAGUAGCGGAGCAUGUGGUUUAAUUCGAAGCAACGCGAAGAACCUUACCUAGACUUGACAUCUUCUGCAUUACCCUUAAUCGGGGAAGUUCCUUCGGGAACAGAAUGACAGGUGGUGCAUGGUUGUCGUCAGCUCGUGUCGUGAGAUGUUGGGUUAAGUCCCGCAACGAGCGCAACCCCUAUUGUUAGUUGCUACCAUUAAGUUGAGCACUCUAGCGAGACUGCCCGGGUUAACCGGGAGGAAGGUGGGGAUGACGUCAAAUCAUCAUGCCCCUUAUGUCUAGGGCUACACACGUGCUACAAUGGCAAGUACAGAGAGAUGCAAUACCGUGAGGUGGAGCUAAACUUCAAAACUUGUCUCAGUUCGGAUUGUAGGCUGAAACUCGCCUACAUGAAGCUGGAGUUACUAGUAAUCGCGAAUCAGCAUGUCGCGGUGAAUACGUUCCCGGGCCUUGUACACACCGCCCGUCA
rnacentral:rRNA from 1 species